UUUUGUCUUCGUAAGGCCAUUUCAUGACCAAAACACAUGAUGACUUUUUUGUGCUAGGACUAUUAUGCCUUCCAGAUAUAUCUCAAAGAAAAUUCUGAUCUGGUUCAAAUUUGAAACCAAAUCUCGUUGCUCUCUCUCUCUCUCUCUCAUAUAUGCGUAGACUCAUCCCUUGCCGAUGUACUCGUUGAGGCCAAUUGAACUCCACGACCGAAUCUGCCAGCGCACGAUCACCAGCGAUUCGCACUGGCGGCUAAUGGUUCAGGCGAGAUCGAAACGUUGGUCCGAUGACGAUUUCUGGUGAGAUCGAAGCGACUGAUUAUCCGACAAUUUGUUCUCCUGUGAAGACAACGUUUUCCGAGAUGUGGAGAAGGAGGUGGAUGAGCGGGUUCAGAGGCCAUUUGUUCCGGCAAGAUCGAAGCGUUGGUCCGAUACCGAUUUCUUCUUACGACGACGGCGGCGGGAUCUCCGAUGAAGGCUCUGAACCUGAUUAUAACAUGUCGUCAAAUCCGAAUUCGUCCCCUUUGCAUUUGUAGAAGUAGAUUUCGAAAAACAUAUGAAUUUGGAUAUUGAAGCCUCCAUUGACCAAGAGAUCAUUCGGCCAACCAAUAAAUGUAGAAAUGAGUCUCGUGUUAAAGGUGGCAAAAUUAUGCAUAUGGGUUUAGAGCAUCACCAUUGAAAAAAUGACAGUAGCAUUACAACAUUGACAGUAGCUUUGUACAACUAUUGUAAUAGAUUUUCACAACUAUAGUAGUUGCUUUUUACAACUAUGGAAGUAGUUUUUUACAUAGUUAUAUCAUUGUUUGAACCCUGCAUACUUUUCGUAUUAUUGAAUGUGUUUUUAUUUCUCAA